rnacentral:rRNA from 1 species
UACGUAGGGUGCUAGCGUUGUUCGGAAUCAUUGGGCGUAAAGCGAGUGCAGGCUGUUAGUUAAGUCGGAUGUGAAAUCCCUGGGCUCAACCGAGGAAGUGCAUUCGAAACUAAUUAGCUAGAAGAUGGUAGAGGAAGGUGGAAUUCCAAGUGUAGAGGUGAAAUUCGUAGAUAUUUGGAGGAAUACCGGUGGCGAAGGCGGCCUUCUGGACCACUCUUGACGCUGAGACUCGAAAGCGUGGGUAGCAAACAGG